AAAAAGCGAUCACCGAACUUUAGCAACAGUUAAAUAAUGAUAAUCAAAACUGGAAGACUGAUACUGACCACACCAGCAUGCACAUUUAUAAAAGAUUAAUUAUAUAAUAGUUUUUUAUUAUGAAUCAUAUGCAUAUUUUUACAAUGUAUUUGUUUAUCUUGUUGAAUAAUUUUGUGGAAUAUAUCUAUAGUUUUUACAUGA